rnacentral:rRNA from 1 species
CGCGUAGGCGGCCCUGCAAGUCCGAUGUGAAAUCCCUCGGCUCAACCGGGGACCCGCGUCGGAAACUGCAGGGCUUGAGUGCAGGAGAGGAGAGCGGAAUUCCCAGUGUAGCGGUGAAAUGCGUAGAUAUUGGGAGGAACACCGGUGGCGAAGGCGGCUCUCUGGACUGCUACUGACGCUGAGGCGCGAAAGCUAGGGGAGCAAACGGGAUUAGAUACCCGGUAGUCCUAGCCGUAAACGUUGGGCACUAGGUGUGGGAGGUAUCGACCCCUUCCGUGCCGCAGCUAACGCAUUAAGUGCCCCGCCUGGGGAGUACGGCCGCAAGGUUGAA